GAGAUUGCUAAAAUGUUCCACUGUAUUUUUUGCUUCUUAAAGGAAAACAUAAAAAUAAUUUUAAGAGAAAUAAUUUUUUUCUAUGAAAUUCUUUAUAUUUGCUGAGAGCUUAUUGGUGAUUUUAUAAAUUUGGUACAUAAGUAUGUUUUCUGAACAAUCAGUGUCAAGAAAGUAACCUUCUAAAAUUUUAUGACAAUCAAACUCCUAAAAACCUUUCAAUAAUGAUCUAAUACUUUAUGAAUACUAGUAUUACAUAUUAAAUACUAAAUUAAUUCAAGUGAGGAAACUUUGAAUAUUAAGAAAACCAUUUUCUUCUUUUAUCUGCAAGCUAAUUACCAUUAAUUCACUUGGUUUUCACUGAAAUCACGCUGAUCAUAAAAAAAAAAAAGCUUUAAUAUUUAUGUGGACAAUAGAUGCUAUUUUAGGAACAUUAUUAUACUGUGAUAAUAAUUAAUAUGCAUUCUUACUUAACUAUUUAGAACCCAAUUAGAACAAUAUUUCAAACAAACACAAAAUCUAUGAACCAGAUGAAUCAUUGAGGUUGCUGUUUAUUCAGAGCAUCACCCAAUUAAAAUUCAGCACUUGAAAUAUUACACAAACUGCUGUAAGGUUUACUGUUGAUGGUCAUGUAUUGAUAUGCUGUGGGCAUAAUCAGCUGGACACUGAUGUUGUGCAAAUCAACAAUGUGGCUGCUGCUUGGUGCUGUCCAUUAAGAGAUACUUGAAGAAAACAUCAGGUACUGGGCCAGUUUCCCAUUCCCAGGAAACAUUCCUGAGGAGGGGAAGGAAAGUUAGCCAAAGUUGUUCAUUCCAGCUGUAGGGAAUUAAGACACACAGCAAAAGGUAUUGAUUGACUGAUAAACAUUAUAAGAGACAGGAAAGAAGCCAGAUCAAUGGAACGUGAGGUAAGGGGUAUAAUUAGAUGCUUUGCCUUUCUCUAGCACUGGUAUAUAUUCCUGAGAAAUGUUUUAAAAUUUAAGAAUCAGUUUAAAAGUUAUUUAUCAAAUCGAUUUCAGAAAUAUUGGACUUUUUCAAGGGUUUAUUUUUUUUUUUUAUUUGCUUUAUUGAAGUAUCGUUGAUCUAUAGUGUUGUAUUGGUUUUGGGUAUACAGCAAAGUGAUUUAAUUAUAUGGGUGUAUGUGAAAGAAAAGAAAGUGAAGUCACUCAGUUGUGUCCAACUGUUUGCGACCCCAUGGACGGUAGCCUGCACCAGGCUCCUCCAUCCAUGG
ensembl:lncRNA